rnacentral:other from 1 species
AUUUCUCUGAGAUGUUUGCCAGCGGCAAGUCCCCUGAGCCGAUAUUCGAAACACAUAGAACGUGGUGAUCUGUUGCUUGUGAGCAUACCCGAUUCGUUCAGGCAGCCUAAUGGCAGCAACACUAUGUUCACCUUGACCAUGGGUUCAAGGGUUACAGCUUGCGGCGGCAUCUUGGAGACCUC